GGCCAUUGAGACAGCAUACUGUUGGGCAUUCUUAACGUCACUACCAAAAGUAGACUUAGUUUUAUAAUUCUGAUAACGGCGCCAAAAAUGCCAAACCUAUCCCUCAUGCCACUUAAGCCAAGUUGUCUUCCCCAGCAUGACAUAAGAGACGCGGUAUUGAAAUAUGCAAUUGCUCUUCUAAAUAAAUAACAAAUGGGAUCUGCAAGCACACAGAUUAAUACCGAUGUAGCAUUUUAACCAGGAAGUAUUCCAGGUAUCGUUAUUUAUAUAUUUUUACCACUGGGAAGGGAUUAGUAAUCAUCAAUGUUGAUUAUAGAAUGGAAUAUAAGAUUGAGUAUCUAUCAUUGCAUGUAUAAUUGAGAACAUUUAUCUAUCUCUUUCAUACAGGGAUAAGUGUCACAUAAAGGAUAUAUAAAGUAAUAAAUGGUGACAAAGAUAAUUAAUCUGAUCAGCAUAACUUAGCCACAUAUAAAUAUGAUAAGCACCUCAAUUAGAUAUUCUAGCAAGUCAUUAGCAUGGAAUUAGGAUGAACUACAAGAAUAUUUCCUAAGUUAUUCUUAACUAUACAGUUUAGCAUAUCAUAGUUAGUGCAAUUAUACUUAGCAAUCACUGUGAGAUAGGACUACGCCCAUGCAUAGUGAUAUUCUCAAGGAAUAUAUAUAUAUAUAAGCACAAAAUCUUUAUUUGGUUUUUCAUAGUUAUGUAUAUUUAUAUUUUAAUGCAGUACAAGUAUAAAGAUAGAUAGAAAUACUUAGCGGGAUAAAUGGCGGUGCUCUCCCCCAAGCUGAAUUUUGACGUAAUUUCUUUUUGAUGUAGCUAGCAGGUGGUAAAGGUAUAUUUGAAAGUCGGUAGCACCUUGACAGCGAUUAGGAUGUCCUCCGUCUGCUAGUCUUCUUGAUCCUUAAGUUAUGUGGAGCUCAAAUAGAAAACAAAGCCUUGUGGACUGAUUAAGUGUUAGCAUAAAUAUCUAGCCUUUAUCAUAUUGAGACUCCUCAAUAAAUAUUACUCUCUAUUUUUUAUAUUUUCAUUUUAUAAAGCAGAAAAAUUAUUUAUUUUAUUUUUAUGCCACCACAGUGAAUGUACUUAUGGGUUUUAUGCCACUCGUAUACUCACAUGGGGCUUACUGUUUUUUAACAUUUUUAUUUUCUUUUUAGGAUAGUAUGAACAUGAUUAACUAAGCAAACUGUUUGAAAUAAUUGAAAGGGAAAGGAUAACUACCAAGUUUAUCUCUUGGCAAGGCAUUCGGUGUUUUUAAGUCCUCCGAACGGGACUCUCCGUUUUCUUAGUUGUCCUGGGAUUCGUUGGAUGGCGGAGUCGGUGCUUCCGGCGGCGCCUCCUCUUCGUGUAUAGUUAUCUUCUCUCUCCACACCUGACUUGGUGCUACGGUCUCCUCUGGAUAAUUCUGUUCAAGCUGUAUGUCUUCAGACCUUACCACUUCUCCUUCGUAGUCUGCCCAUCCGUCCUUGAUGAUUUGCCUUCUCUGGUUGCGGUUGCGUCGUCUUCUUCUUGUCCUGACCUACUUAGAGUCUUCAACGAUAUAAUUAGGGUCAGUAAAAUAGCGGCGUACCUUCUCUAAGGGGAAGUGCAUAUGGACUUCUCCAGUUCCAAUGUAGAUGAUUGCUUUAACGGUGCUGAGGAACGGUCUUCCAAGGAUGAUGGGUGGAUCGUACUCGUCUUCUCCCAUGUCAAUAACCUGAAAGUCUGUAUGGACAAAAUGAUCGUCUAUUUUGACAGGGACAUCAGUUACUAUACCUUCAACCUCUCGAAAUGUCUGAUCUGCCAUCUAGAGCUGAAUGUAUGUUGGUUUUAGGGGCAUGGUUCCGAACAAGAGCCGAUAGGUGACUGCGGCCAUUAUGUUGACGCCCGAUCCGGUGUCGCAAGUCGUCUUGUAGAAGUUGUAUCCAUUUAUGGAGCAAUAGAUGCUUGGCAUUCCUGGGUCGUCCUUCUUGGUCAGAAACGGUGACUUAAGUCGAUGAUCUUAACCUCCUUGAACUGCAGUGACCAUCUUAGCUGACUUGGUCCACACUUGCUUGUUCCUAUUCCUCCUGUGGGUCCUCUUCCUUGGUUCAUGUCGGGAUUGCUCUGGAAUUUGUGUAGUCUUGUUCUUGAAGAAAAACAUCUCCUUCCUCCCUUUGAUGUAAAAACUGAUCUUGGCAGCACUAGCGUAGAUGACAGCUCCCGAGGUGUUUAAGAAUGACCUCCCUAAGAUGACGGGUGGCCUCUCAUCAUUACCGGUCUCUAUCACCACGAAGUCUGCUGGGGCGUAUAAGGUACCAACUCGGACGCAAAGGUUCUUCAAUGUUCCCUUUGGGAAACUUAAUACCUGAUCUGCAAACUACAAACACAUGGUUGUUUCUAAUAAAGGAUAUGUAAAGAAUUUUUCAUAGAGUACCCUGGGCAUAAUGUUGACACUAGAGCCAAUGUCACAAAGUGCUUCUGGGAAGUCCACC
rnacentral:lncRNA from 1 species